GACGAACGCUGGCGGCGUGCCUAAUACAUGCAAGUCGAACGCACAGUUUAUACCGUAGCUUGCUACACCAUAAACUGUGAGUUGCGAACGGGUGAGUAACGCGUAGGUAACCUGCCUGGUAGCGGGGGAUAACUAUUGGAAACGAUAGCUAAUACCGCAUCAUAUUGAUUAUUGCAUGAUAAUUGAUUGAAAGCUGCUAUUGCAUCACUACCAGAUGGCCCUGCGUUGUAUUAGCUAGUAGGUGAGGUAACGGCGCACCUAGGCGACGAUACAUAGCCGACCUGAGAGGGUGAUCGGCCACACUGGGACUGAGACACGGCCCAGACUCCUACGGGAGGCAGCAGGAGGGAAUCUUCGGCAAUGGACGAAAGGCUGACCGAGCAACGCCGCGGGAGGGAAGAAGGGUUUCGGAUCGUAAAGCUCUGUUGUAAGAGAAGAACGGGUGUGAGAGUGGAAAGUUCACACUGUGACGGUAGCUGACCAGAAAGGGACGGCUAACCACGUG
rnacentral:rRNA from 1 species